rnacentral:rRNA from 1 species
AUGGAUAUGUCACUAGGAGUCUUGGUAUGGAAUGUUAGGGGGCUCAAUAACCCCGCUAGGCGAUGCUCGAUCCGGUUGUUUAUGCAGACUUGCAAUGUACCUCUUGUUUGUUUUCAAGAAUCCAAGUUGGCUGUUGUGGACUCGGUGGUGAUAAACCAGACUCUCGGGCCAGGUUUUGAUGAUUUUGAUUUCUUGCCAGCGGUGGGCACUAGGGGUGGUAUUCUGUUGGCAUGGAAGGCACAUCAUCUGCGUGUGACUGAUAUUCACAAGGGCGAAUUCAUGAUCUCGGCUAAGGUUCUCUCCCUGACAGACGGAAAAGAAUGGAUGGUCUCCACAGUGUACGGUCCACAAGGAGACGAAGAUAAAGAGAGGUUUCUGAAUGAGAUUGUUCAGUUUCCGGUGACCAAGUUCAACUGCCGUGGAUCCUCAAUGGGGACUUCAAUCUUGUGUGCAGCGAGGAGGAACGCAGUUCGCGGAGGGUCAACAGAAGGCUGA